CCAGAGGGGCUAUAUCGGAGGGAAUGAGUUCUACAUGGAGCUUCCAACACCCCCCACAAAUUCAAGGUCAUCAAGCCAGAGAAAGAAUGGGGUGAACUCCCCAAGCGAGUCCAGUCCUUGGCUCCUGGAUCUACACUCCUUUGAUGCCGAACUUCUUCCUGAGAAAUUGCUCGAGUAUUGAGAUAAGAAUUGGUCGCUUUCACAUCGCACCUCUUUGAAUUAUCAAUCCAGUUAUCUCAGACGCGGUGCCAUAAUGAUAUGCCAGUUUCUAGCCUUCAGGAUGGCCCUCCUAUAUAUCUCAUCCUCGUCGUAGAAGCUUUGAUGAUUCCUAACCAUACAUGCGAAACAACAAACAGGCUGGCAGAGCCCGUGCCCCUCCCGAGAAUAACCAGUCGAAAGGUUUUGCUGCAGACGAGGAUAAAGCUAGUUCUGUUGCAAAGAUCAAAGUUGUGGUGUGUCUUCAACUCAUUUUAUCUAUUUCCUCUAUUUGGAGCCAAACCAAUUUGUAGCACCUGUAAAUAUAUGC